rnacentral:lncRNA from 1 species
UUUUUUUUAUUUAUUCAUUGGAGACACAGAGAGAAAGAGGCAGAGACACAAGCAAAGGGAGAAGCAGGCUCCAUGCAGGGAGUCUGAUGCGGGACUCGAUCCCAGGACCCUGGGAUUAUGCCCUGAGCCAAAGGCAGACACUCAACCGCUGAGCCACCCAGGCGUCUCCCCCUCCUAUUAUUCUUAAUAAGGCAUCCACAAUGUAUGUACACUAUUUUACAGUUUUAAAAGCACUUUAACAUCUGUUAGCUGAUACAAUGAUCUCAGUAGCCUUCCCAGCUAGACAGAAAUAGUUACUUCUAUGAUACAGGUGAGGAAUAAAAGGACUUGCCCAAAUUCACACCCUCAUCAAGUGGCAGAGGAUAAGCAUGUAGGCUUAUUUUUCAUCUACAAUGCCCAAUUCCUUUCAACUGUAGGGCAUUGCUUCUCUGAGUAUUCUUCUAGGAAGACUGAAAACAUUAACUUGGCAGCCAUUAGAACAAAGCCCACCUUACUAAAUGUUAUAUUAGUAACAAUCCUUUAUGGAUUGUGUUAACCUUCUCCUAUGGCAUGCCAAGUGCCUCUGUCAGGCUGGACGGUCCACCUGGAGAUUCUAAGGACAGAGAUUGGGUCUUAUUCAUGCCUGUACCACCAUUCCUGUCAGAUAAGACAAGCUCAAUGCAUGUUUGCUGUAUGCAUGGAUGGAUUCUGUAGGCACUUAAUGAUUUACACUCUUCAUCUUAUUAUUUGAUUUUCCAAAAAGCCCCAGAACAUAAAGGAAAGCUGAUAUCAUUAUCUUCAUUUAACUAACGAUGAGAUGCAGGUCACACCAAAGCUGCUAUCAUUUUCUUUCUUUUAAAAAGUAUAAUGGACUCAUACUCCCUCCUGGAGCAGAACCCAGCUGAAUUCUACACUCUGCUCUUGGCCCUGGCACAUAGUCUGCUUAAAAGCCAAGAUAGACAGUUUUGUUAUCUUUCAUAUCUUACAAAAUACAUCAAAUUCUGAAAAACUCUGUGGUAAUUAGACCAAAAAGAAAAAGGCAGGCGGGGGGGUGGGUGCUAAAGCUGAAUCUUUCAACCUGGAAUAAUUGUUACAUUCCUAUUCUUUCCCUUUCUCACCUCCUUUUGGUCUUCAUUGUCUAUAAUGUGAAAUAUUCAUUUUCCUCCACAAAAAGAAUCCACUUCUUAUAGAAUAGAACUGACAGGCUUGUGGGAGGCUUGCUCUCUACGUUAACCCUUCCUGCUGGGUUUUGCAGCACACAGCUUUUCCCAAAUGGACUCAACCACCUGCCUCUCCUCUAGCACCCUGAGCGUUCUUCUGAAAUGUGGAGUCUGAUGAUGCCUCUUCUCUACCAGGACCACUGAGCUCCCCAACAAAUGCUGCAAACAUUGUCUAACCUGCCUCUCAGGGUAUCCAAACUCUCUAUCCUACUUAUGUUUGCAGGCCAAUCUCCCAAGCUUCCUCUCCAUGGGCUUUGCAUUCUACCAAACUAGAAUAGUUAACCAUCCCUUAAACAACUCUGCAUCUCCCCAUCCCAUCCCCAGGCCAUCACCACUACCAAGGAUGAAGACUUCAUUUCUAAAAAUCCUCCCAAUCCUUCAAGGGUUUUCCCUUGAGACCUUCUCCUGUUCCUUCCAGCAAUUCAUUCAACAAAUAUUUAAUAAGAAAAACCUUAAUGCCCAACAAACUAUUUUCAAAGAGUUUAAUAUCACCUGAGAAAAAAGAGAUACAAAUAAGAGAAAUACAACACAGUGAGGUGCUGUCAUGGUGUCAUCGCAAAACAAUGGGUUAGCCAGUGGAGGAGGGGGAGGAUAGAGAAGGGUCCAUCCUGAUAAUUGCUGAGACUUUAAUCUAGGCAGAAGGUGAGGAGGGGGGGAACAGCACCAGACUGAGUUUGAAAUAGACAAGUCUUAUGUAAUGCCCGCCCUUCCUUCCUUCCUUCCUUCUUCCUUCCUUCCUUCCUUCCUUCCUUCCUUCCUUCCUUCCUUCCUUCCUUUCUUCCUCAGAUAUUUAUUCAUUCAUUUAGACAUCGAGCUUGAAUAUGUGCACAGCACUGUACUAGGAAUGCAGAAAUGAAUGUUACAUGAUGGUUCUCACCCUUAGAAGUUCACAUUCUAGUAGGAGAGACAGAGAUGUACCCACGAGGCUCGGCCAUAGGUGAGAAACACUGUGCCAAGGGCUGGGGAAUGAGAGGAUAGUGGCUGGCUCUGCCUGGCAAAGACCCGUAAAGCUUCAGAACAGGAUGAUAUUUGUCAAAGCUCUAAAAGGGAGAAGGAGUUUACUGGAAGGAGAAGAAAGAAAAAAAGAAAGAAAGGGAGGGAGGGAGGGAAGGGGGAAAGAAAGGGAGACUGUAUCAGUCAGUCCAGUCAAGAGAAAAUAACUCUCCUAAUUAUUUUAACAUAACAUUAAAAAAAAAGAUGUUUAGUUUCAGAAUUAUUAACUAAGUGACUAAGAGAUCAAAAGGAACUCUAAGGCAUCCUGAAGGUAGAAGUUGCAAGAGGCAGCUAUCACCCCCAUACUUAAGAAACAAAUGGAAACACUUAGAAACUUAGAAGAGAAGGCCCAUGGGUGGGCGGUGUUAGAAAACUGAGACACUAUUCAGGGCACUACUCAGCUGAGGCUGAGCCCAUGGGAGGGACCCCAGGAGCUAGUCCAACUCUUGAGGACAGGCACAGGUCGGCUGGUGCUAGAGUCUCCUGAGAUGUGGCCUACAACUGGGUCUGCAAGUGUUGAGAAGUGUGCAGCUACUCCAAGAAGGAACUGCAGCUUCCGAGGUGAACAAGUGUCUGUUCCUAGAUGCUAACCCAGCGGCUCUAAAGCAAGGGUGAUUUUUGCCUUCUGAGCAUCAUUGUUCAAUGCCUGGAGGUAUGCUUUAUAGUCACCACUUGUGGGGGGAUUGCUACUGGAAUUUAGUAGGUGGAGUAGAAGGGUGCCGCUAAAUAUUCUGCAGGGUUGAGCACGUCCUCAACAAAGAAUUACCAAGUUUGAAAUGUCCAUAGUGCCGAACUUGAGAAACCAUUGUAGGUUAACAGGAAGAGGAACAAGAAGCAAGCAUGGAAUUAAAUCUCAUCUUCCCCCAUCCAGCCAUGGCAUCUUCCUCUAGCGCUCCCUAUUGGCAGAGCCUAAGAGGGAGCCAGCAGGUGGAGCAGAAAUCCGGAUUUGUCCCAGGCCCAGCAUCACAAAGCCAAGUACAGAAAGAUGGGUAUGUAGCCGAAAGCCAAUAAGUUAAUAACUGGCACAAGCAUUUUGGCCCAGGUUCUCAGAGCAAGCAAAGCCAUGACGGCAGAUAUAGGAGUGGCAUGACAGCAAUGCCUAGCACAUUGUAGGUGCUCAGCAGAGAGUGAGCAAACAUUUAUUCAGUGAAUGACUUCUAGAUGAAAGACUUUCAAGCUGUAUGAGAAUGAGCACAAUGUCUCCUGACAGUGAAAUUUUUUGUAUCCAUGAAGUUGGUAUUUUUCUUUGCUUUUGUCUGUUGUCUUAUAAGGAAUAGAGUACCUCCUGAAAUUCAGUUCUCAGAGUGUGUCAAAGGUGUUACAGUCCUUUUGUCUCAUAACUGUUUUUUUUUUACACAAAUGAGAUCAUGUGACUUUCACUCAUCAACAGUAUCAUGGAGAUGUUUGCACAAUAUUUUUUUUUGCACAAUAUUAAUAAAGAUUUAUUUAGUGCUAGUUCUACCUUAUGGUAUACUUUACCACUUUUAUUUUACUUCAGCUGCCACCUGCUUACCUAUUUUUGGAUGAGAAAACUAAAGCUCAAGCAAGGUGAAGUGAUUUGUCCCAAGUGGUACCUUAAGUGGAAGAGUGAAAUUAGAACCCCAGAAAGGUGAUUUGUGCUUGAGUUGCUCUGAGGCAGCUGAUUUACUGUGUCACUUAGCCCUUCCCAAUCUGGGUGUGUUUCAAGUGCAGCCAGGCUCCUAUGGUGUGCUAAACCCUUUACCUUUUCCUCCCAUACAUUUUGUUCCCACUCACUUGUAGAAUCAAUGGAGCAAUUCAGGGUGUUAGUUUUUCAGGAGAGAACUAUAAUCCAGUGAGAAACAUGGAAGAGUUUAUGGAUGAACUCAGGCUGCAUGGUCUCAUACAGACAGGGUAGGGAACCCAGUCCUGAGAGGUCAGGGAAGCCUUUCUCUGGUGACAUCCAAAGGAGAAGGAGGAAACAGAGGAAGGAGAGGGCAGGCUGGACAGGAAGGAAAAGCAUGUGCAAAGUGCAAGAUGAAACAUUAAAGGCCUGCAAGCUGACCAUGGAAGGGGUUUGGCUAUGAGGGCAAUGUAGUGGGAAGAGUGACAUGUAAGAGCUGGAUCAAUGACUGUUGCUUAUAAACCCUGUAAGUUAUAUGAAGAAAGUUGGACUUUAUAAUGGUCUAGCUAAUUAUGUGAGCACACCAUUUUCUUGAGUUUUGGUCUCCACUGUGUAAAAUGGUAGUAACAGCAUCUGUUCUGUCUACCAAACGGGGCCUGAGUUGUUCAAAUAAAAUACAAACACACACACACACACACACGCAAACACACACAUCACAUGGAAAUUUGCUUAGGAAACUGUCACACAUUAUCACUACAGCAACCCCGAGUCAGCUUCGGAAAAUAGAAGCAGCAGUUUUCUCUUUCCUCCCAUCUCCCUUAACCCCUGUGGAGGAAAAAGCCCCCUUUGGAAAAGAAAGACUCUCCUUAGUCCUUUGCCAAAGCUUUCUCAAGUAAUAAUCCAUAAUGCAAUCUUCAUUGAAAUUGUAUUUCAGCCCCCCUCUGCUAAAAAUAUAAAUACAUCUGACUUCAGCCUCCGAAUGGCCUUUGUGCCUUCCUGCCCCUGGUGUGCGCCUUCCUAAGUGGCUGUCCUCGCCGUGGGCACCAGCCUGUGUGAUAACAUUAUAAUUUUGUGUAUAUUGUGCUCUCCGAGGCCAUGCUGAGGCCAGCGCGAGGAAAUGGCAAUUGACAGCAGGGCCAGUCUUUGUGAAGAUCUGUGGCUUCCUCCUCUGUGGGUUCAUUUGGCUCCAGCUACUGUAUUUGGGUGGCUGGCCCCAAGAAGCCAUGGACACAGGCACCAGCACUCCCCUUAACUGAGUGCUUUGUUAAAAAAAAAAAAAAAAGAGGCAACUUAAAAUUGAGGUGUCCCAGGAUAGAGAAUGAAUGGCUUGAGGAAAGAGGGGGUAGGCAACAACCCAGAACACAGUCAUCUGGACCAUAUGUGUGAACUCUGAGUUGCUGGAAUCCAAAACCAAAUCCAGCAGAGCCUUCAAAUCGCCAGGGCUAAUGGUUUGCACAUCAUCUAUUUACCCUGGAUCUUUCUACUGCAUUGUAUAGCUCCCAACACAAAUCACUUUUACGCUGCCAAGGAUGCGAACAUUUGAGAAAUAUUUAUUAAAUGUCCACUCUGAGCUAACAUCUGUAGGCACUGAGGAUAGUGAUGAACAAGGAACAGUUUACCAUGCAAGGAACUCACACUGGGUAAGGAGUCCAUUGCACCAUCAGUGCAAAUGCUAGUUUCUCUCCACUGAUUAAGAGAAGUUGCUAAGGGACAAUGGCUCACAAAGGGUUAAAUGGAAAGCUGUGUAUUCUGAUUAUCAUAGUGACUCGAAUGCCAGCAUUCAGAAAGGUUCCAUCUCCAUCUCUUUUUUGCUUUUACUUACUCUCUUCAUUUGCAUGGAGGAAGGAAAGCCAAAGCCUCUUACCAAUUACCCCAUGCACUGAGCCACAGACCCAAACGGAGCUCAGAUUAUCUAUUUAAUUCUCUAGCCUGCAAGGGGGCAUUUACCUAUUGUCUAUGUCUUAGCCAAAUGUAAUGGAUUAGUUCAGAGCC